UGACCCUCAAGCAUAGCUUGGUGUUGGGCAAGGUCCUGGGGGACCCGCCCGUAACUCGUAGGCGGCCGCCGCCCGCACCCCCAGCGUAGCAAGCUCACGCGUUCGCUCGGAGUCGGUGCGUCUGGCCCGCCAGGCAAAUCGCAAACCAUUCCAAG
rnacentral:misc_RNA from 2 species